CUGGUAAAAAGAGGACUURACCCCUGUGGUUAGAUUUACAGUCUAAUGCUUACUCAGCCAUUUUACC
rnacentral:tRNA from 1 species